AGGGCGCAAGGUGAAUGCCUUGGCACUGGGAGCCGAUGAAAGACGUGGUAAGCUGCGAAAAGCUUCGGGGAGGAGCAAACAUCCAUUGAUCCGGAGAUAUCUGAAUGGGGCAACCCAAUGGAGUUCAUACUCCAUUAUCCAAUACUGAAUCCAUAGGUAUUGGAAGGGAACCGCCUGAACUGAAACAUCUAAGUAGGGCGAGGAAGAGACAUCAAACGAGAUUCCGUAAGUAGUGGCGAGCGAACGCGGAAGAGGGCAAACCGAGAGUAGAAAUACUUUCGGGGUACGGAGCGCAUUUAGGACUUAAGUUGUUAACCGAACGGCAUGGGAAGGCCGGUCAGAGAGUGUGAGAACCACGUAGGUGAAAACGACAAGAGCCGAGCAAGUUCCAGAGUACGGCCAGACACGUGAAACCUGGUCGGAAGAUGGGGGGACCACCCUCCAACCCUAAAUACUACCCAGUGACCGAUAGCGUAUAGUACUGUGAAGGAAAGGUGAAAAGGACCCCGGGAGGGGAGUGAAAGAGAACCUGAAACCUUGUGCCUACAAGCACAUAGAGCCCGUCAAAGGGUGAUAUGGUACUUUUUGUAGAACGGUCCGGCGAGCGAUUGUACGUUGCGAGCUUAAGGUCUUAAGGACUGGAGGCGUAGCGAGAGCGAGUCUAAACAGGGCGUUUAGUAGCGUGCAAUGGGCCCGAAACCGGGUGACCUACCCAUGAUCAGGCUGAAGUGAAAGUAAAAUUUCAUGGAGGGCCGAACCGACCUCCGUUGAAAAGGCGGCGGAUGAAUUGUGGGUAGCGGAGAAAUUCCAAUCGAACUCGGAGAUAGCUGGUUCUCCCCGAAAUAGCUUUAGGGCUAGCCUCAUGUUAGAUAUCCGGAGGUAAAGCACUGAAUGGCCUAGCGUCCGAGAGGAUAGCGAAGCCUAUCAAACUAAGAAUGCCGGAAUAUUGAUGCAUGGGAGUCAGACAGUGUGAGAUAAAUCUCAUUGUCAAAAGGGAAACAGCCCAGAUCUACAGCUAAGGUCCCAAAUUGUAUCUAAGUGGAAAACGAUGUGGAAAUACGCAGACAACCAGGAUGUUGGCUCAGAAGCAGCCACUCAUUUAAAGAGUGCGUAAUAGCUCACUGGUCGAGCGUCUCUGCGCGGAAAAUUUAACGGGGCUAAGAUACAAACCGAAGCUUAGGCUGCAUACGGAAGUAUGCGGGGUAGGGGAGCGUUGUGUAAGCGGAGAAACAGUAGCGUAAGCGGCUGUGGAGUUUACAGAAGUGAGAAUGCCGGAAUGAGUAGCGCGAAUGAUGUGAGAAUCAUCAUGGCCGGAAACCUCAGGUUUUUGGAGGAAGGUUCGUCCGCUCCAAGUUAGGCGGGAGCUAAGGUGAGGCCGAAAGGCGUAGCCGAUGCACAGACGGUAGAGAUUCCGUCCCCACCGAAAGAUUUAAGCGCAGGGACACUUUUAGAAGGUCGGAGCCAGGUGUUGGUUCUGGUAGAGAUCGAGGGAAGAUUAGUACCGAAGUCCGGCUGGAUAAGAGGCGAGAAAAGCUGCGUGUAUAUCUAAGGUGCCCGUACCGCAAACCGACACAGGUAGGUAGGAAGAAGAUUCUAAGGCCAACGGGAGAAGGGUUGUUAAGGAACUCGGCAAAUUGACCCCGUAACUUCGGGAGAAGGGGUGCUGCAGCAAUGCAGCCGCAGAGAAUCGGCCCAAGCAACUGUUUACCAAAAACACAGGUUUGUGCUAAAUCGAAAGAUGACGUAUACGAGCUGACGCCUGCCCGGUGCUGGAAGGUUAAGAGGAGAUGUGCAAGCAUUGAAUCGAAGCCCCAGUGAACGGCGGCCGUAACUAUAACGGUCCUAAGGUAGCGAAAUUCCUUGUCAGGUAAGUUCUGACCCGCAUGAAAGGCGUAAUGAUUUGGGCACUGUCUCAACAGCCCGCCCGGCGAAAUUGUAGUACCGGUGAAGAUGCCGGUUACCCGCGACAAGACGGAAAGACCCCAUGGAGCUUUACUGUAGCCUAAUAUUGGGUUUCGAUGUUGCAUGCACAGGAUAGAUGGGA
rnacentral:rRNA from 1 species